rnacentral:rRNA from 1 species
CCGCGUGAGUGAAGAAGGCCUUCGGGUGUAAAGCUCUUUGUCAGGGAAGAAACGGUGAGAGCUAAUAUCCCUUGCUAAUGACGGUACCUGAAGAAUAAGCACCGGCUAACUACGUGCCAGCAGCCGCGGUAAUACGUAGGGUGCAAGCGUUAAUCGGGAAUUACUGGGCGUAAAGCGUGCGCAGGCGGUUUUGUAAGUCUGAUGUGAAAUCCCCGGGCUCAACCUGGGAAUUGCAUUGGAGACUGCAAGGCUAGAAUCUGGCAGAGGGGGGUAGAAUUCCACGUGUAGCAGUGAAAUGCGUAGAUAUGUGGAGGAACACCGAUGGCGAAGGCAGCCCCCUGGGUCAAGAUUGACGCUCAUGCACGAAAGCGUGGGGAGCAAACAGGAUUAGAUACCCUGGUAGCCCACGCCCUAAACGAUGUCUACUAGUUGUCGGGUCUUAAUUGACUUGGUAACGCAGCUAACGCGUGAAGUAGACCGCCUGGGGAGUACGGUCGCAAGAUUAA